AGGCUAUUAGCUCAAAUGGCAGAGCAAUGUGCAAUGUGGGUUCAAAUCCCGCAUAGCCUA
rnacentral:tRNA from 1 species